AUGAUAGAUGGAGAUGAAGGCAUUGCAAACAUUGAUUUAUACCAUAUCCAUGCAUCUUUGAUUCCCAUUGGAGUUGGAUGCUUGGUAUUUCAGAAGAUGUUUGACCACGUGAAUACAACAAUUGAGGAUCAGAAAAGGGAAGCCAUUUUCCUGAGUCUGCAGCCUUUUCUUCACAACUGGAGAAACUUGGCUGUCGGCAAUGCAUUGUUGAAUGCAACAUACACACAUCCACAAGGAGGGAUGUACGCUAUUACUCCUGUCAGAAUAGCUCGCUGGUUGGGGAUAUAUGUACCUACUUAUCAGGCCAUGCCAGAAGCAGACAGAGUUCAUAUUGAGCUCCUGUAUGAUUAUGAGAUGUUUUUCCUGUAUCUUCGCAAUAGAAUCGCACAUCGGAUGGAGGCACUUAAGGACUACAGGAGACUCCAGAAUGGUCAGGAAUACAGUGUGACAGGAGCUGAUUACCUCUUCAUCAUAAAAUUUGGACUGGUUAUAUGUCAUGUACAGAAGCAGUUAUCUGACGCUGGUGAGCUCAAAUCUUUAAAGCUAUCUCAU
rnacentral:rRNA from 1 species